rnacentral:rRNA from 1 species
UACGUAGGUGGCAAGCGUUAUCCGGACUUACUGGGUGUAAAGGGCGUGUAGGCGGGAAAGCAAGUCAGAUGUGAAAACCAUGGGCUCAACCUGUGGCCUGCAUUUGAAACUGUUUUUCUUGAGUACUGGAGAGGCAGACGGAAUUCCUAGUGUAGCGGUGAAAUGCGUAGAUAUUAGGAGGAACACCAGUGGCGAAGGCGGCUUACUGGACUGUAACUGACGUUGAGGCUCGAAAGCGUGGGGAGCAAACAGG